rnacentral:ncRNA from 1 species
AUAAAGGUUUGGUCCUGGCCUCAAUAUUAAUUAAAACUAUAAUUAUACAUGCAAGUCUCAACACCCUAGUGAGUAAUGCCCCCAAAUACUGAUAAGUAAGAGAGGAGCCGGUAUCAGGCCCAAACCCAAAACACCUUGCCAAGCCACACCUACACAGGAAAUCAGCAGUAACAAACAUUGAACAAUAAGCGACAGCUUGAUUCAGCAAUAGUUAUCAAGAGCCGGUUAAUCUCGUGCCAGCCACCGCGGUUAUACGAAAGACUCAAAUUAAUAUAUGCGGCCCAAAGGGCAGUUAAAGAAAAUAAAUAGGAUUAAAAAAUUUCCAAGCUGUUAUACGCAAAAGAAGAUAAAAACCCCCCUACACCUAUUAACCUUGAAUCUGCCACAAUCAAGAAACACACUGGGAUUAGAUACCCCACUAUGCUUGAUUAUAAACCUUGGACUCACCCGCCAGAGCACUACGAGCCACAGCUUAAAACUCAAAGGACUUGGCGGUGCCCCACACCCACCUAGAGGAGCCUGUUCUAUAAUUGAUACUCCACAAUAAACCUCACCCCCCCUCGAAAUACAGCCUAUAUACCACCGUCGCAAGCCCACCCCACAAAGGAAAAACAGUGGGCUAAAUAAUUUUAAAUUAAAAAGUCAGGUCAAGGUGUAGCAAAUGGGGCGGGAAGAAAUGGGCUACAUUUUCUAAAAAGAAAACACGAAAUACUUUAUGAAAUAUAGUAUGAAGGAGGAUUUAGCAGUAAAGAGAAAAGAGAGAGUUCUCUUAAAACUGGCAAUGGGGCAAGCACACACCGCCCGUCACCCUCUUAUACCUAAACAUAUUAAAUAAAAAAAUACAAUAAAAAUAGAGGAAAGUCGUAACAUGGUAAGUCUACCGGAAGGUGGCCUUGGAA